CCCCGAUCAUGGCUCAGGAUGAACGCUAGCUACAGGCUUAACACAUGCAAGUCGAGGGGCAUCAGGAAGAAAGCUUGCUUUCUUUGCUGGCGACCGGCGCACGGGUGAGUAACACGUAUCCAACCUGCCCUUUACUCGGGGAUAGCCUUUCGAAAGAAAGAUUAAUACCCGAUGGCAUAAUGAUUCCGCAUGGUUUCAUUAUUUAAAAGGAUUCCGGUAAAGGAUGGGGAUGCGUUCCAUUAGGUUGUUGGUGAGG
rnacentral:rRNA from 1 species